GAUGAACGCUGGCGGCGUGCCUAAUACAUGCAAGUCGAGCGAACAGACGAGGAGCUUGCUCCUCUGACGUUAGCGGCGGACGGGUGAGUAACACGUGGAUAACCUACCUAUAAGACUGGGAUAACUUCGGGAAACCGGAGCUAAUACCGGAUAAUAUAUUGAACCGCAUGGUUCAAUAGUGAAAGACGGUUUUGCUGUCACUUAUAGAUGGAUCCGCGCCGCAUUAGCUUGUUGGUAAGGUAACGGCUUACCAAGGCGACGAUGCGUAGCCGACCUGAGAGGGUGAUCGGCCACACUGGAACUGAGACACGGUCCAGACUCCUACGGGAGGCAGCAUUAGGGAAUCUUCCGCAAUGGGCGAAAGCCUGACGGAGCAACGCCGCGUGAGUGAUGAAGGUCUUCGGAUCGUAAAACUCUGUUAUUAGGGAAGAACAAAUGUGUAAGUAACUAUGCACGUCUUGACGGUACCUAAUCAGAAAGCCACGGCUAACUACGUG
rnacentral:rRNA from 1 species